rnacentral:tRNA from 1 species
GGGCCCAUAGCUCAGAGGCGGAGCGCCGGCCUUAUAAGCCGGAGGUCGGGGGUUCGAAUCCCCCUGGGCCCA